UACGAAGGGGGCUAGCGUUGCUCGGAAUGACUGGGCGUAAAGGGCGCGUAGGCGGAUGGCACAGUCAGAUGUAAAAUUCCCGGGCUUAACCUGGGGCUGCAUUUGAUACGUGUUGUCUAGAGUGAGGAAGAGGGUUGUGGAAUUCCCAGUGUAGAGGUGAAAUUCGUAGAUAUCGGGAAGAACACCCGUGGCGAAGGCGGCACUCUGGGACGGUACUGACGCUGAGACGCGAAAGCGUGGGGAGCGAACGAGG
rnacentral:rRNA from 1 species